rnacentral:rRNA from 1 species
AACGAACGCUGGCGGCAGGCUUAACACAUGCAAGUCGAACGGGUGUAGCAAUACAUCAGUGGCAGACGGGUGAGUAACACGUGGGAACCUUCCUAGGGGUACGGAACAACUCAGGGAAACUUGAGCUAAUACCGUAUACGUCCGAAAGGAGAAAGAUUUAUCGCCCUUAGACGGGCCCGCGUCGGAUUAGCUAGUUGGUGGGGUAACGGCCUACCAAGGCAACGAUCCGUAGCUGAUCUGAGAGGAUGAUCAGCCACACUGGGACUGAGACACGGCCCAGACUCCUACGGGAGGCAGCAGUGGGGAAUCUUGGACAAUGGGCGCAAGCCUGAUCCAGCCAUGCCGCGUGAGUGAAGAAGGCCUUAGGGUUGUAAAGCUCUUUUGGCAGGGACGAUAAUGACGGUACCUGCAGAAUAAGCCCCGGCAAACUUCGUGCCAGCAGCCGCCGUAAUAC